rnacentral:rRNA from 1 species
AACGAACGCUGGCGGCAUGCCUAACACAUGCAAGUCGAACGAAGCCUUCGGGCUUAGUGGCGCACGGGUGCGUAACGCGUGGGAAUCUGCCCUUAGGUACGGAAUAACUCAGGGAAACUUGUGCUAAUACCGUAUGAUGUCGAGAGACCAAAGAUUUAUCGCCUAGGGAUGAGCCCGCGUAGGAUUAGCUAGUUGGUGGGGUAAAGGCCUACCAAGGCGACGAUCGGUAGCUGGUCUGAGAGGAUGAUCAGCCACACUGGGACUGAGAUACGGCCCAGACUCCUACGGGAGGCAGCAGUGGGGAAUAUUGGACAAUGGGGGUAACCCUGAUCCAGCAAUGCCGCGUGAGUGAUGAAGGCCUUAGGGUUGUAAAGCUCUUUUGCCAGGGAAGAUGAUGACUGUACCUGGAGAAUAAGCCCCGGCUAACUUCGUGCCAGCAGCCGCGGUAAU